rnacentral:rRNA from 1 species
ACUCCUACGGGAGGCAGCAGUGGGGAAUAUUGCACAAUGGGCGCAAGCCUGAUGCAGCCAUGCCGCGUGUGUGAAGAAGGCCUUCGGUUGUAAAGCACUUUCAGUCGUGAGGAAGGUAGUGUAGUUAAUAGCUGCAUUAUUUGUACGUUAGCGACAGAAGAAGCACCGGCUAACUCCGUGCCAGCAGCCGCGGUAAUACGGAGGGGUGCGAGCGUUAAUCGGAAUUACUGGGCGUAAAGCGCAUGCAGGUGGUUUGUUAAGUCAGAUGUGAAAGCCCGGGGCUCAACCUCGGAAUUGCAUUUGAAACUGGCAGACUAGAGUACUGUAGAGGGGGUAGAAUUUCAGGUGUAGCGGUGAAAUGCGUAGAGAUCUGAAGGAAUACCGGUGGCGAAGGCGGCCCCCUGGACAGAUACUGACACUCAGAUGCGAAAGCGUGGGGAGCAAACAGGAUUAGAUACCCUGGUAGGAUAGCG